AAGUCGUAACAAGGUUUCCGUAGGUGAACCUGCGGAAGGAUCAUUAACAAUGUUUUGGUGCAUAUCCAAAAUCUGUCUAGGUCUGUGCAUUCAAUUCACUACCAACCGUGCGUUGACUCUCGGCUGGUACUGCUUGAACGUCCUAGUACACACACUGGGAAAUGGAGGCUUGCUUAGAAGCCGCCGUUUCAUUUAACAAGAACCUGGGGUACUUUAAGGUAGAGGGUAAAAACCUUUACUUUAGAGCCCUCUAAUAAUCCCCCCCUCUUUAUUUUACCAUAUUUUACCCUUAAGACUAUAAGACUGAUAUGACAUGGUUUAGUGUCUAACAUUAAAUCUUAUGAAACAACUCUUAACAAUGGAUAUCUCGGUUCUG
rnacentral:misc_RNA from 1 species